rfam:Ornithorhynchus anatinus chromosome 5, whole genome shotgun sequence.
CCCCUCCCAGGGUUGCAUCUGGAGAGUUUCCAGUACUUUACCAGUCUCGACUAUGGGAGGGUGAGUCAAGCAGAGUCCUAUCCAUUCCAUUCCUAGUGUGGGUAGUGGCUAGUGAGUGGAAGGCAAUCUGUUACAAGU